rnacentral:rRNA from 1 species
CAGGCUUAACACAUGCAAGUCGAGGGGCAGCAUGGUCUUAGCUUGCUAAGGCCGAUGGCGACCGGCGCACGGGUGAGUAACACGUAUCCAACCUGCCGUCUACUCUUGGACAGCCUUCUGAAAGGAAGAUUAAUACAAGAUGGCAUCAUGAGUCCGCAUGUUCACAUGAUUAAAGGUAUUCCGGUAGACGAUGGGGAUGCGUUCCAUUAGAUAGUAGGCGGGGUAACGGCCCACCUAGUCUUCGAUGGAUAGGGGUUCUGAGAGGAAGGUCCCCCACAUUGGAACUGAGACACGGUCCAAACUCCUACGGGAGGCAGCAGUGAGGAAUAUUGGUCAAUGGGCGAGAGCCUGAACCAGCCAAGUAGCGUGAAGGAUGACUGCCCUAUGGGUUGUAAACUUCUUUUAUAAAGGAAUAAAGUCGGGUAUGCAUACCCGUUUGCAUGUACUUUAUGAAUAAGGAUCGGCUAACUCCGUGCCAGCAGCCGCGGUAAUACGGAGGAUCCGAGCGUUAUCCGGAUUUAUUGGGUUUAAAGGGAGCGUAGAUGGAUGUUUAAGUCAGUUGUGAAAGUUCGCGGCUCAACCGUAAAAUUGCAGUUGAUACUGGAUAUCUUGAGUGCAGUUGAGGCAGGCGGAAUUCGUGGUGUAGCGGUGAAAUGCUUAGAUAUCACGAAGAACUCCGAUUGCGAAGGCAGCCUGCUAAGCUGCAACUGACAUUGAGGCUCGAAAGUGUGGGUAUCAAACAGGAUUAGAUACCCUGGUAGUCCACACGGUAAACGAUGAAUACUCGCUGUUUGCGAUAUACAGCAAGCGGCCAAGCGAAAGCGUUAAGUAUUCCACCUGGGGAGUACGCCGGCAACGGUGAAACUCAAAGGAAUUGACGGGGGCCCGCACAAGCGGAGGAACAUGUGGUUUAAUUCGAUGAUACGCGAGGAACCUUACCCGGGCUUAAAUUGCAGAUGAAUUACGGUGAAAGCCGUAAGCCGCAAGGCAUCUGUGAAGGUGCUGCAUGGUUGUCGUCAGCUCGUGCCGUGAGGUGUCGGCUUAAGUGCCAUAACGAGCGCAACCCUUGUUGUCAGUUACUAACAGGUUCCGCUGAGGACUCUGACAAGACUGCCAUCGUAAGAUGUGAGGAAGGUGGGGAUGACGUCAAAUCAGCACAGCCCUUACGUCCGGGGCUACACACGUGUUACAAUGGGGGGGUACAGAGGGCCGCUACCACGCGAGUGGAUGCCAAUCCCAAAAACCUCUCUCAGUUCGGACUGGAGUCUGCAACCCGACUCCACGAAGCUGGAUUCGCUAGUAAUCGCGCAUCAGCCACGGCGCGGUGAAUACGUUCCCGGGCCUUGUACACACCGCCCGUCAAGCCAUGGGAGCCGGGGGUACCUGAAGUGCGUAACCGCGAGGAGCGCCCUAGGGUAAAACUGGUGACUGGGGCUAA